AACGAACGCUGGCGGCAGGCCUAAAACAUGCAAGUCGAACGAACCGCAAGGUUAGUGGCGCACGGGUGAGUAACACGUGGGAAUGUGCCUCUGGGUACGGAACAACGUCGGGAAACUGACGCUAAUACCGUAUAAUGUCUACGGACCAAGGAUUUAUCGCCCAGAGAUCAGCCCGCGUCUGAUUAGCUAGUUGGUGAGGUAACGGCUCACCAAGGCGACGAUCAGUAGCUGGUCUGAGAGGAUGAUCAGCCACACUGGAACUGAGACACGGUCCAGACUCCUACGGGAGGCAGCAGUUAGGAAUAUUGGACAAUGGGGGAAACCCUGAUCCAGCCAUGCCGCGUGUGUGAAGAAGGCCUUAGGGUUGUAAAGCACUUUCGGCUGUGAAGAUAAUGACAGUAGCAGAAGAAGAAGCUCCGGCUAAAUUCGUGCCAGCCGCCGCAGUAA
rnacentral:rRNA from 1 species